rnacentral:rRNA from 1 species
GAUGAACGCUGGCGGCGUGCCUAAUACAUGCAAGUCGAGCGAACGGACGAGAAGCUUGCUUCUCUGAUGUUAGCGGCGGACGGGUGAGUAACACGUGGAUAACCUACCUAUAAGACUGGGAUAACUUCGGGAAACCGGAGCUAAUACCGGAUAAUAUUUUGAACCGCAUGGUUCAAAAGUGAAAGACGGUCUUGCUGUCACUUAUAGAUGGAUCCGCGCUGCAUUAGCUAGUUGGUAAGGUAACGGCUUACCAAGGCAACGAUGCAUAGCCGACCUGAGAGGGUGAUCGGCCACACUGGAACUGAGACACGGUCCAGACUCCUACGGGAGGCAGCAGUAGGGAAUCUUCCGCAAUGGGCGAAAGCCUGACGGAGCAACGCCGCGUGAGUGAUGAAGGUCUUCGGAUCGUAAAACUCUGUUAUUAGGGAAGAACAUAUGUGUAAGUAACUGUGCACAUCUUGACGGUACCUAAUCAGAAAGCCACGGCUAACUACGUGCCAGCAGCCGCGGUAAUACGUAGGUGGCAAGCGUUAUCCGGAAUUAUUGGGCGUAGAGCGCGCGUAGGCGGUUUUUUAAGUCUGAUGUGAAAGCCCACGGCUCAACCGUGGAGGGUCAUUGGAAACUGGAAAACUUGAGUGCAGAAGAGGAAAGUGGAAUUCCAUGUGUAGCGGUGAAAUGCGCAGAGAUAUGGAGGAACACCAGUGGCGAAGGCGACUUUCUGGUCAGUAACUGACGCUGAUGUGCGAAAGCGUGGGGAUCAAACAGGAUUAGAUACCCUGGUAGUCCACGCCGUAAACGAUGAGUGCUAAGUGUUAGGGGGUUUCCGCCCCUUAGUGCUGCAGCUAACGCAUUAAGCACUCCGCCUGGGGAGUACGACCGCAAGGUUGAAACUCAAAGGAAUUGACGGGGACCCGCACAAGCGGUGGAGCAUGUGGUUUAAUUCGAAGCAACGCGAAGAACCUUACCAAAUCUUGACAUCCUUUGACAACUCUAGAGAUAGAGCCUUCCCCUUCGGGGGACAAAGUGACAGGUGGUGCAUGGUUGUCGUCAGCUCGUGUCGUGAGAUGUUGGGUUAAGUCCCGCAACGAGCGCAACCCUUAAGCUUAGUUGCCAUCAUUAAGUUGGGCACUCUAAGUUGACUGCCGGUGACAAACCGGAGGAAGGUGGGGAUGACGUCAAAUCAUCAUGCCCCUUAUGAUUUGGGCUACACACGUGCUACAAUGGACAAUACAAAGGGCAGCGAAACCGCGAGGUCAAGCAAAUCCCAUAAAGUUGUUCUCAGUUCGGAUUGUAGUCUGCAACUCGACUACAUGAAGCUGGAAUCGCUAGUAAUCGUAGAUCAGCAUGCUACGGUGAAUACGUUCCCGGGUCU